rnacentral:rRNA from 1 species
UUAAGUCUCUAUUUUUGUAUUGUAAUAGGCUACGUUUUAAUAAACUAUAUGUAAAUAUAGUGCUUAGGCGGAGCUUACUAACACACAAAUUAAAGAUUAAAUUAGUAUUGAAUGAAACUUUGUUUAUAUAUCGAUAAUGACGAUAUAUAUAUUAUGUCUUGACCAAUUACGUGCCAGCAGUCGCGGUAAUACGUAAGAGACUAGUGUUAUUCAUCUUAAUUAGGUUUAAAGGGUACUCAAACGGUCUGUUUUGCACAAAAGACUAGAGUUAUAUAGAAGAAGGUAGUACCUUAAGUGUAGAGAUAAAAUUUUGUUAUACUGGAGGGACUUAGAAAAGGCGUAGGCAACCUUCUAAGUAAUAACUGACGUUGAAGGACGAAGGCAUAGGUCACGAACAGGACUAGUAACCCAAGUAGUCUUUGCAGUCAAUGAUGAAUGCCAUAGGUUAGAUAAAAAUUUAGUCUAUAAAUGAAAAUGUAAGCAUUUCACCUCAAGAGUAAUGUGGCAACGCAGGAACUGAAAU